rnacentral:rRNA from 1 species
GAUGAACGCUGGCGGCGUGCCUAGUACAUGCAAGUCGAGCGAACAGACGAGGAGCUUGCUCCUCUGACGUUAGCGGCGGACGGGUGAGUAACACGUGGAUAACCUACCUAUAAGACUGGGAUAACUUCGGGAAACCGGAGCUAAUACCGGAUAAUAUAUUGAACCGCAUGGUUCAAUAGUGAAAGACGGUUUUGCUGUCACUUAUAGAUGGAUCCGCGCCGCAUUAGCUAGUUGGUAAGGUAACGGCUUACCAAGGCAACGAUGCGUAGCCGACCUGAGAGGGUGAUCGGCCACACUGGAACUGAGACACGGUCCAGACUCCUACGGGAGGCAGCAGUAGGGUAUCUUCCGCAAUGGGCGAAAGCUUGACGGAGCAACGCCGCGUGAGUGAUGAAGGUCUUCGGAUCGUAAAACUCUGUUAUUAGGGAAGAACAAAUGUGUAAGUAACUAUGCACGUCUUGACGGUACCUAAUCAGAAAGCCACGGCUAACUACGUG